rnacentral:rRNA from 1 species
GACGAACGCUGGCGGCGUGCUUAACACAUGCAAGUCGAACGAGUGGCGAACGGGUGAGUAAUACGUGAGUAACCUGCCCUCUUUUUGGGAUAAGCCUUGGAAACGGGGUCUAAUACCGAAUAAAGGGGGAUGGGCUCGCGGCCUAUCAGCUUGUUGGUGGGGUGAUGGCCUACCAAGGCGGUGACGGGUAGCCGGCCUGAGAGGGUGACCGUCCACAGUGGGACUGAGAUACGGCCCAGACUCCUACGGGAGGCAGCAGUUGGGGAUAUUCCACUAUGGGCGAAAGCCAGAUGCAGCGACGCCGCGUAGGGGAUGAAGGCUUACGGGUUGUAAACCUCUUUCGCGAGCGAAGGGGUAGGUAGAGAAGAAGCGCCGGCUAACUACGUGCCAGCAGCCGCGGUAAUUC